GCUAAUGGAAUCAGGAAGUAAACACCCUGGCUGUCUGAAAUUUGUUAUAACUGUGCUGAUUUCAAAUAGUUAAAUGGCAGACCUGCACGUGUCCCCAGAACCCUCUUUAACCCUGGAGAACUUGAACGGACUGCUUUUUAGCUGUGUGAACGCAGGCUUGUAGCGGAGUCUUCUCUAUGGGAAGCCUCUGAUCAGCCAUUUGAAAGUCUGUGCUGGGAAUGAAG